UAGGGAAUUUUCGUCAAUGGGCGCAAGCCUGAACGAGCAAUGCCGCGUGAACGAGGAAGGUCUUCGGAUCGUAAAGUUCUGUUGAAGGGGAAAAAAGAGCGGAGAGAGGAAAUGGUCUCCGAUUGAUAUUCCCUUCGAGGAAGUCACGGCUAACUACGUGCC
rnacentral:rRNA from 1 species